rnacentral:rRNA from 1 species
UACGUAGGGCGCAAGCGUUUGUCCGGGAAUUAUUGGGCGUAAAGAGCUCGUAGGCGGUUUGUCGCGUCUGCUGUGAAAACCUAAGGCUCAACCUUGGGCUUGCAGUGGGUACGGGCAGACUAGAGUGCGGUAGGGGGUGACUGGAAUUCCUGGUGUAGCGGUGGAAUGCGCAGAUAUCAGGAGGAACACCGGAUGGCGAAGGCAGGUCACCUGGGC